rnacentral:rRNA from 1 species
GAUGAACGCUGGCGGCGUGCCUAAUACAUGCAAGUCGAGCGAACAGACGAGGAGCUUGCUCCUCUGACGUUAGCGGCGGACGGGUGAGUAACACGUGGAUAACCUACCUAUAAGACUGGGAUAACUUCGGGAAACCGGAGCUAAUACCGGAUAAUAUAUUGAACCGCAUGGUUCAAUAGUGAAAGACGGUUUUGCUGUCACUUAUAGAUGGAUCCGCGCCGCAUUAGCUAGUUGGUAAGGUAACGGCUUACCAAGGCAACGAUGCGUAGCCGACCUGAGAGGGUGAUCGGCCACACUGGAACUGAGACACGGUCCAGACUCCUACGGGAGGCAGCAGUAGGGAAUCUUCCGCAAUGGGCGAAAGCCUGACGGAGCAACGCCGCGUGAGUGAUGAAGGUCUUCGGAUCGUAAAACUCUGUUAUUAGGGAAGAACAAAUGUGUAAGUAACUCUGCACGUCUUGACGGUACCUAAUCAGAAAGCUACGGCUAACUACGUG